CUCCCGUGCCUACUGAGCUGAAACACAGUUGAUUUGUGCAGACUGGCUCAGUUCAGC
rnacentral:pre_miRNA from 15 species